rnacentral:rRNA from 1 species
UACGAAGGGGGCUAGCGUUGCUCGGAAUUACUGGGCGUAAAGCGCACGUAGGCGGAUUGUUAAGUCGGGGGUGAAAUCCUGGAGCUCAACUCCAGAACUGCCUUCGAAACUGGCGAUCUUGAGUCCGGGAGAGGUGAGUGGAACUGCGAGCGUAGAGGUGAAAUUCGUAGAUAUUCGCAAGAACACCAGUGGCGAAGGCGGCUCAGUGGCCCGGUACUGACGCUGAGGUGCGAAAGCGUGGGGAGCAAACAGG